UCAACAACAUCUGUGCAUUAAAAGCAUCAGUGGUCAGCAGCAAAACCAGUCCAACCUCCUCAAACAGAGAUUCCUCUCAAAUAGCUGAUGACACAGAUUAUUCCCUAUAUUUCGUUUGUAUUCCUGUUUUUCUUCUCCUGCUGGGACUGGGAGGAGUCAUCUACAGGAGAUGCAGAGGACAGAGACGAGGACAGGCGGACGGUCAAGAGCAAAUAAGGGUGAAUAGAGAACAGAAAUCACAGGAUGAACUGACGUACUGUACUGUCGUCCACAGCAACACAACCACAACAACAACCACAGUCACUGACUUCGGAGAAAAGACAGAAUACGCCACCAUCAGAGUGAACUAGUAACACAUCUCACAUCAUAAAAAAUACAUACUCUGCUUUGUUUCAUGAUUUUUAAAACAUUUUCUAGCUUCUGCCUUUGCAUAUUCAA